CUCCUUUCAUAUUUUUUCUUUCAUUUAACAUGACUAUAAAUAGGGUAACAAGGGUUGAUAUCUUCAUAUUUUCCAACAAAUGCAGUCAGAUAGGUUAAAGGAUCAUUUAUGAGCUCACACAAAACCAUAGAAAGCAUCAACUCAUACUUGGAACUUUAACCCAACUUGGAAAUUAAUCAUACUAAAAUAAGCCUACAAUCUCAAGGAAAAAGGGCAAGAAUUUCUUGCAGCAUGUCCAAUGACAUUAUAAACAUAGUAAUUCCAGAUACACAUUAUUAAUACAAUUACAAACUUACCAUCUGUCUCCCCUCUUCUAGGCAGAAGUCUCCACCUAUAACACAACUUAUAGCCAUAUUCCAACCUAAAAAGAAAAAUAACCCCUCAAAAGUAAAUUCAGACAGGUCUAAAUCCUUAUCUCAUGCAUGAUAACCAAAACCUUCUAAACACCACAUCAUGAAAUCAUUCUUUCGCAUAAAGGAAAGCACAUCCAAACCUUGAUUCAAUAUUUCAAUGUAAUCUUUCGAUAAAUUGGAUGUGAUCAUUCCUUCCAAAACCAUUCACUUGAUUCCAUCUCUGAAACGUAGAAACUCGUGCAACUCGAGAUUCCACAUUUGAAUGUUCUUAAUGUCCAGGCAUCAUCACAUAUCAUACUAAAUUUCUUCAGAACAAAAUGGUUGCAGAAUUCCUUCUAUUUUAUCUCGAUUAUGAAGAGUAGCCAGACCCUUGAUAGAUAUCAAAAUCAACAAAGAUCAGAGAAAUAAUAGCGAGCAAUACAAUUCACAUGAAUUGAAGAUAAACCAUGACCACUGAAUCUGGAAAACUAGAGCACAUUUCAGUCUCUAUAUUACAAGUUGAUCCACAAAGAUUGGAUGAGAUGUAUUUAAUAAGGUUAAGCUUAGGGGCAUGGUUGGAUGCUCAAAUAUGCUAGCUCUGAAUAAAUUCUAUGCACAGCAGAAUCUUAAGAGAAAGCAUGAUCCAAAAGAAGAGUUUGAGGGAAAAAAGGGGAUCAUCC
rnacentral:lncRNA from 1 species